rnacentral:rRNA from 1 species
UACGGAGGGGGCUAGCGUUGUUCGGAAUUACUGGGCGUAAAGCGCACGUAGGCGGCUUUGUAAGUUAGAGGUGAAAGCCCGGGGCUCAACUCCGGAACUGCCUUUAAGACUGCAUCGCUAGAAUUGUGGAGAGGUGAGUGGAAUUCCGAGUGUAGAGGUGAAAUUCGUAGAUAUUCAGAAGAACACCAGUGGCGAAGGCGACUCACUGGACACAUAUUGACGCUGAGGUGCGAAAGCGUGGGGAGCAAACAGG